CAGCAGUAGCCACGGUAAUCCGAGGGGGGCAAGCGUUGUUCGGAAUUAUUGGGCGUAAAGGGUGCGUAGGCGGUUUGACAAGUUCUGUGUGAAAUCCCUGGGCUCAACCCAGGGUCUGCACGGAAAACUGUCAGACUUGAGGAUGGGAGAGGUGAGUGGAAUUUCCGGUGUAGCGGUGAAAUGCGUAGAUAUCGGAAGGAACACCUGUGGCGAAAGCGGCUCACUGGACCAUUUCUGACGCUGAUGCACGAAGGCUAGGGGAGCAAACAGGAUUAGAUACCCCCGUAGUCCCUGUCUCUUAUAC
rnacentral:rRNA from 1 species